CUCCUCUCUGUAUGCUCUAUGCUGACUGCCAGGAAUAAAGGGCGGAGCUUAUAACAAUGAUUGACAGGGAGCUAAGAUGGAGGCGGCUCUCUCUAUGUUGACUGCCAGGAGUAAAGGGCGGAGCUUAUAACAAUGAUUGACAGGGAGCUAAGAUGGAGGUGGCUCUCUCUAUACUGACUGCCAGGUGUAAAGGGCGGAGCUUAUAACAAUGAUUGACAG